rnacentral:rRNA from 1 species
UUAGUAACUGCGAGUGAAGAGGGAAAAGCUCAAAUUUAAAAUCUGGCAGUGUUUCACUGUCCGAGUUGUAACCUAGAGAAGUGUAACCUGCACUGGACCGUGUACAAGUCUCCUGGAAUGGAGCAUCACAGAGGGUGAGAAUCCCGUCUUUGACAUGGACUGCCAGUGCAUUGUGGUUGUGCUCUCAACGAGUCGAGUUGUUUGGGAAUGCAGCUCUAAAUGGGUGGUAAAUUCCAUCUAAAGCUAAAUAUUGGCGAGAGACCGAUAGCGAACAAGUACCGUGAGGGAAAGAUGAAAAGAACUUUGGAAAGAGAGUUAAACAGUAUGUGAAAUUGUUGAAAGGGAAACAUUUGAAGUCAGUCGCGUUGGCUGGGGAUCAACCUGACUUUUUGUUAGGUGUACUUCCUGGUUGACGGGUCAACAUCAGUUUUGACUGCCAGAGAAAGGCUAAGGGAAUGUGGCACCUUUGGGUGUGUUAUAGAUCUUGGUCGUAUGUGGUGGUUGGGACUGAGGAAAGCAGUGUGCCGAAAGGCCGGGUUUCGACCACGUUCACACUGAGGAUGUUGGCAUAAUGGCUUUAAGUGACCCGUCUUGAAACACGGACCAAGGAGUCUAACAUGCAUGCGAGUGUUUGGGUGGAAAACCCUUACGCGUAAUGAAAGUGAAAGUUGAGAUCCCUGUCGUGGGGAGCAUCGACGCCCGGACCAGAACUUUUGGGACGGAUCUGCGGUAGAGCAAGUAUGUUGGGACCCGAAAGAUGGUGAACUAUGCCUGAAUAGGGUGAAGCCAGAGGAAACUCUGGUGGAGGCUCGUAGCGAUUCUGACGUGCAAAUCGAUCGUCGAAUUUGGGUAUAGGGCGAAAGACUAAU